GACGAACCGUGCGAACGUUAUUCGGAAUCACUGGGCUUAAAGCGCGUGUAGGCGGGCCGGCGCGUCGGGCGCUGAAAUCCCCCGGCUCAACCGGGGAAGCGGCGCCGAUACGGCCGGCCUGGAGGGACGUAGGGGGGGCUGGAACUUCCGGUGGAGCGGUGAAAUGCGUUGAGAUCGGAAGGAACGCCCGUGGCGAAAGCGAGCCCCUGGACGUCUACUGACGCUGAGACGCGAAAGCCAGGGGAGCGAACGGG
rnacentral:rRNA from 1 species